rnacentral:rRNA from 1 species
GGCGANCUUCGAGCCUGCUUUNUCAUCCUAUACACCUGUGAACUAUUUGCCUUCGGGCACCAAACAAACAUAAUGGUAAUGAAUGUAAUCUACUAUAAUAAAUACAACUUUCAACAACGGAUCUCUUGGCUCUCACAUCGAUGAAGAACGCAGCGAAAUGCGAUAAGUAAUGUGAAUUGCAGAAUUCAGUGAAUCAUCGAAUCUUUGAACGCAAAUUGCGCCCUUUGGUAUUCCGAAGGGCAUGCCUGUUUGAGUGUCUUAUAAACCUCACCCCUAAUGUUUUAUCACAAUAGGUUGGUGCUUUGGGUGUUGCCAUUUACCUGGCUCGCCUUAAAUGACUAAGUGGAAUGCGUAAUAAGUUCUCGCAACCCUCCACUCUAAUACAAUUUAUAUUCUGACCUCAAAUCAGGUAGGACUACCCGCUGAACUUAAGCAUAUCAAUAGGCCGGAGGAA